rnacentral:rRNA from 1 species
UAAUACGUAGGUGGCAAGCGUUGUCCGGAUUUAUUGGGUUUAAAGGGUGCGUAGGCGGCCCUGUAAGUCAGUGCUGAAAUAUCCCAGCUUAACUGGGAGGGUGGCAUUGAUACUGCGGGGCUAGAGUACAGAUGAGGUAGGCGGAAUUGACGGUGUAGCGGUGAAAUGCUUAGAUAUCGUCAAGAACACCUAUAGCGAAGGCAGCUUACUAGGCUGUAACUGACGCUGAGGCACGAAAGUGUGGGGAUCAAACAGGAUUAGAUACCCUGGUAGUCCACACUGUAAACGUUGAUGACUCGCUGUUGGCGAUACACGGCCAGCGGCAGAGAGAAAUCGUUAAGUCAUCCACCUGGGGAGUACGCCGGCAACGGUG